rnacentral:rRNA from 1 species
AGAGUUUGAUCCUGGCUCAGGACGAACGCUGGCGGCGUGCCUAACACAUGCAAGUCGAGCGAUGAAGUUUCCUUCGGGAAACGGAUUAGCGGCGGACGGGUGAGUAGCACGUGGGUAACCUGCCUUAUAGUGGGGGAUAGCCUUUCGAAAGGAAGAUUAAUACCGCAUAAGAUUGUAGUAUCGCAUGAUAUAGCAAUUAAAGGAGCAAUCCGCUAUAAGAUGGACCCGCGUCGCAUUAGCUAGUUGGUGAGGUAAUGGCUCACCAAGGCGACGAUGCGUAGCCGACCUGAGAGGGUGAUCGGCCACAUUGGGACUGAGACACGGCCCAGACUCCUACGGGAGGCAGCAGUGGGGAAUAUUGCACAAUAGGCGAAAGCCUGAUGCAGCAACGCCGCGUGAGUGAUGACGGCCUUCGGGUUGUAAAACUCUGUCUUCAGGGACGAUAAUGACGGUACCUGAGG